ACGACCUUACUUGAACAGGAUCUGUUCUAUAGGUUCGUACCUCUGUAUCCUUAUCUUCUAAGGAGACAGGAAACCAAGUGAUGCAGGAUGAAAAUGAAAGAAAGAAGAAGGAACA
rnacentral:snoRNA from 1 species